AUUGAACGCUGGCGGCAGGCUUAACACAUGCAAGUCGAACGAGUGGCGGACGGGUGAGUAAUGCUUGGGAAUCUCGCUUAUGGAGGGGGAUAACUACGGGAAACUGUAGCAAAUACCGCUUACCAUAGGAUGAGCCCAAGUGGGAUUAGGUAGUUGGUGGGGUAAAGGCUCCCCAGGCCGACGAUCCCUAGCUGGUCUGACAGGAUGACCAGCCACACUGUGACUGAUACACGGCCCAGACUCCUCCGGGAGGUAGCAGUGGAGAAUAUUGCGCAAUGGGGGCAACCUGACGCGGCCAUUCCGCGUGAGUGAAGAGGGCCUUCGUGUUGUAAAGUUCUUUCGGUUGCGAGGCGUUAACUACAGAAGAAGCACCGGCUAACUCCGUGCCAGCAGCCGCGGUAAUAC
rnacentral:rRNA from 1 species